rnacentral:rRNA from 1 species
UUAAGUUAUUAAGGGCGCACGGUGGAUGCCUUGGCACUAGAAGCCGAUGAAGGACGUUACUAACGACGAUAUGCUUUGGGGAGCUGUAAGUAAGCUUUGAUCCAGAGAUUUCCGAAUGGGGAAACCCAGCAUGAGUUAUGUCAUGUUAUCGAUAUGUGAAUACAUAGCAUAUCAGAAGGCACACCCGGAGAACUGAAACAUCUUAGUACCCGGAGGAAGAAAAAGAAAAUUCGAUUCCCUUAGUAGCGGCGAGCGAAACGGGAAGAGCCCAAACCAACAAGCUUGCUUGUUGGGGUUGUAGGACACUCUAUACGGAGUUACAAAGGACGACAUUAGACGAAUCAUCUGGAAAGAUGAAUCAAAGAAGGUAAUAAUCCUGUAGUCGAAAAUGUUGUCUCUCUUGAGUGGAUCCUGAGUACGACGGAACACGUGAAAUUCCGUCGGAAUCUGGGAGGACCAUCUCCUAAGGCUAAAUACUCUCUAGUGACCGAUAGUGAACCAGUACCGUGAGGGAAAGGUGAAAAGCACCCCGGAAGGGGAGUGAAAUAGAACCUGAAACCGUGUGCUUACAAGUAGUCAGAGCCCGUUAAUGGGUGAUGGCGUGCCUUUUGUAGAAUGAACCGGCGAGUUACGAUUUGAUGCAAGGUUAAGCAGUAAAUGUGGAGCCGUAGCGAAAGCGAGUCUGAAUAGGGCGUUUAGUAUUUGGUCGUAGACCCGAAACCAGGUGAUCUACCCUUGGUCAGGUUGAAGUUCAGGUAACACUGAAUGGAGGACCGAACCGACUUACGUUGAAAAGUGAGCGGAUGAACUGAGGGUAGCGGAGAAAUUCCAAUCGAACCUGGAGAUAGCUGGUUCUCUCCGAAAUAGCUUUAGGGCUAGCCUCAAGUGAUGAUUAUUGGAGGUAGAGCACUGUUUGGACGAGGGGCCCCUCUCGGGUUACCGAAUUCAGACAAACUCCGAAUGCCAAUUAAUUUAACUUGGGAGUCAGAACAUGGGUGAUAAGGUCCGUGUUCGAAAGGGAAACAGCCCAGACCACCAGCUAAGGUCCCAAAAUAUAUGUUAAGUGGAAAAGGAUGUGGCGUUGCCCAGACAACUAGGAUGUUGGCUUAGAAGCAGCCAUCAUUUAAAGAGUGCGUAAUAGCUCACUAGUCGAGUGACACUGCGCCGAAAAUGUACCGGGGCUAAACAUAUUACCGAAGCUGUGGAUUGUCCUUUGGACAAUGGUAGGAGAGCGUUCUAAGGGCGUUGAAGCAUGAUCGUAAGGACAUGUGGAGCGCUUAGAAGUGAGAAUGCCGGUGUGAGUAGCGAAAGACGGGUGAGAAUCCCGUCCACCGAUUGACUAAGGUUUCCAGAGGAAGGCUCGUCCGCUCUGGGUUAGUCGGGUCCUAAGCUGAGGCCGACAGGCGUAGGCGAUGGAUAACAGGUUGAUAUUCCUGUACCGCCUAUAAUCGUUUUAAUCGAUGGGGGGACGCAGUAGGAUAGGCGAAGCGUGCGAUUGGAUUGCACGUCUAAGCAGUAAGGCUGAGUAUUAGGCAAAUCCGGUACUCGUUAAGGCUGAGCUGUGAUGGGGAGAAGACAUUGAGUCUUCGAGUCGUUGAUUUCACACUGCCGAGAAAAGCCUCUAGAUAGAAAAUAGGUGCCCGUACCGCAAACCGACACAGGUAGUCAAGAUGAGAAUUCUAAGGUGAGCGAGCGAACUCUCGUUAAGGAACUCGGCAAAAUGACCCCGUAACUUCGGGAGAAGGGGUGCUCUUUAGGGUUAACGCCCAGAAGAGCCGCAGUGAAUAGGCCCAAGCGACUGUUUAUCAAAAACACAGGUCUCUGCUAAACCGUAAGGUGAUGUAUAGGGGCUGACGCCUGCCCGGUGCUGGAAGGUUAAGAGGAGUGGUUAGCUUCUGCGAAGCUACGAAUCGAAGCCCCAGUAAACGGCGGCCGUAACUAUAACGGUCCUAAGGUAGCGAAAUUCCUUGUCGGGUAAGUUCCGACCCGCACGAAAGGCGUAACGAUUUGGGCACUGUCUCAACGAGAGACUCGGUGAAAUCAUAGUACCUGUGAAGAUGCAGGUUACCCGCGACAGGACGGAAAGACCCCGUGGAGCUUUACUGUAGCCUGAUAUUGAAAUUCGGCACAGCUUGUACAGGAUAGGUAGGAGCCUUUGAAACGUGAGCGCUAGCUUACGUGGAGGCGCUGGUGGGAUACUACCCUAGCUGUGUUGGCUUUCUAACCCGCACCACUUAUCGUGGUGGGAGACAGUGUCAGGCGGGCAGUUUGACUGGGGCGGUCGCCUCCUAAAAGGUAACGGAGGCGCUCAAAGGUUCCCUCAGAAUGGUUGGAAAUCAUUCAUAGAGUGUAAAGGCAUAAGGGAGCUUGACUGCGAGACCUACAAGUCGAGCAGGGUCGAAAGACGGACUUAGUGAUCCGGUGGUUCCGCAUGGAAGGGCCAUCGCUCAACGGAUAAAAGCUACCCCGGGGAUAACAGGCUUAUCUCCCCCAAGAGUUCACAUCGACGGGGAGGUUUGGCACCUCGAUGUCGGCUCAUCGCAUCCUGGGGCUGUAGUCGGUCCCAAGGGUUGGGCUGUUCGCCCAUUAAAGCGGUACGCGAGCUGGGUUCAGAACGUCGUGAGACAGUUCGGUCCCUAUCCGUCGUGGGCGUAGGAAAUUUGAGAGGAGCUGUCCUUAGUACGAGAGGACCGGGAUGGACAUACCUCUGGUGUACCAGUUGUCGUGCCAACGGCAUAGCUGGGUAGCUAUGUGUGGACGGGAUAAGUGCUGAAAGCAUCUAAGCAUGAAGCCCCCCUCAAGAUGAGAUUUCCCAACUUCGGUUAUAAGAUCCCUCAAAGAUGAUGAGGUUAAUAGGUUCGAGGUGGAAGCAUGGUGACAUGUGGAGCUGACGAAUACUAAUCGAUCGAAGACUUAAUCAA